CGGCGACCGGCGCACGGGUGAGUAACGCGUAUCCAACCUGCCCAUAACUAAGGGAUAACCCAGCGAAAGUUGGACUAAUACCUUAUGUAUUCGUUUGAUCUCAUGAGAUUACGAAUAAAGAUUUAUCGGUUAUGGAUGGGGAUGCGUCUGAUUAGCUUGUUGGCGGGGUAACGGCCCACCAAGGCAACUAUCAGUAGGGGUUCUGAGAGGAAGGUCCCCCACAUUGGAACUGAGACACGGUCCAAACUCCUACGGGAGGCAGCAGCA
rnacentral:rRNA from 1 species